rnacentral:rRNA from 1 species
AGGAUAAACGCUGGCGGCGUGCCUAACACAUGCAAGUCGAACGUCUCUUCUUUCGGGAAGAGGAGUGGCGGACGGGUGAGGAACACGUGGGAACCUGCCCUUCAGUGAGGAAUACCGGCGAGAAAUCGCCGACAAGACCGCAUAGCCCUCUCUGGUGAGAGCCAGAGAAGGAAAGCUUCGCAAGAGGCGCUGGAGGAGGGGCCUGCGUCCGAUUAGCUAGUUGGUGCGGGUAACGGCCCACCAAGGCGAUGAUCGUUAGCUGGUCUGAGAGGAUGAUCAGCCACACUGGGAUUGAGAACGGCCCAGACUCCUACGGGGGGCAGCAGUGAGGAAUAUUCGUCAAUGGGCGCAAGCCUGAACGAGCGACGCCGCGUGGGGACGACGCAUUUCGGUGUGUAAACCCCUUUUUCCGAGGAAGAGAAGGGACGGUACGUCGGAGAAUAAGCAUCGGCUAACUACGUGCCAGCAGCCGCGGUAA